rnacentral:rRNA from 1 species
UUCCAGACUCCUACGGGAGGCAGCAGUGGGGGAUAUUGCACAAUGGGGGAAACCCUGAUGCAGCGACGCCGCGUGGGUGAAGAAGCGCCUCGGCGCGUAAAGCCCUGUCAGCAGGGAAGAAAAUGACGGUACCUGAAGAAGAAGCCCCGGCUAACUACGUGCCAGCAGCCGCGGUAAUACGUAGGGGGCAAGCGUUAUCCGGAUUUACUGGGUGUAAAGGGGGCGCAGACGGCGAUGCAAGCCAGGAGUGAAAGCCCGCGGCCCAACUGCGGGACUGCUUUGGAAACUGCCCGGCUAGAGUGCUGGAGAGGUAAGCGGAAUUCCUAGUGUAGCGGUGAAAUGCGUAGAUAUUAGGAGGAACACCAGUGGCGAAGGCGGCUUACUGGACAGUAACUGACGUUGAGGCUCGAAAGCGUGGGGAGCAAACAGGAUUAGAUACCCUGUA